rnacentral:rRNA from 1 species
UACGAAGGGGGCUAGCGUUGCUCGGAAUCACUGGGCGUAAAGGGCUCGUAGGUGGCCAACUAAGUCAGACGUGAAAUCCCUCGGCUUAACCGGGGAACUGCGUCUGAUACUGGAUGGCUUGAGUUUGGGAGAGGGACGCGGAAUUCCAGGUGUAGCGGUGAAAUGCGUAGAUAUCUGGAGGAACACCGGUGGCGAAGGCGGCAUCCUGGACCGGUAUUGACGCUGAUGCGCGAAAGCCAGGGGAGCAAACGGG